AGGCAGNAGUGGGGAAUCUUGCGCAAUGGGCGAAAGCCUGACGCAGCGACGCCGCGUGGGGGAUGAAGGCCUUCGGGUUGUAAACCCCUUUCAGCGGGGACGAAGCCUGUUUUGCAGGUGACGGUACCCGCAGAAGAAGCACCGGCUAACUACGUGCCAGCAGNCGCGGUAAU
rnacentral:rRNA from 1 species